GGUCACGUGGUCCAACGAAGACUGCGGAUUCUGAUUCCGCUAACGAGGGUUCGACUCCCUCCGAGACCU
rfam:Fusarium poae strain 2516 chromosome FPOA_2 Chr2, whole genome shotgun sequence.